AGGAGGGGUGCUAGGCGACACUGGUUGGAAAAGGGAUGUCAAGUGGCACCUAUGCGGCAGAUGUGACCGGACAAUCAGAUUUUUUUUCUAACGGCUUUUUCAAUUUCUCAACCUGAUUUUUAGGGCCUUUGAUGGGUAAAUAUUUUACCCUAUAUAAGGACCAAGUUGGUCCCCAACCAUGGUUGUGGCUGUGAAAAGAAGAAAAGAAAGAGAAAUUUAGGGAGAAAAGAAGAGAGUAUGGAAGAUAAAAAGAUUUUGUGGUGUUUGAAGAAGAGGAGGGUUCAGAGGAGGCAGCAAUAUAUUUGAGUCUGGUUUAUAGGAGGCAGCAAUAAAUUAAGCUUUAAAGGAGAGGAGUAGCAGUAGAUUAAGGUUUAAAGAUAUCCAAGUGAGUUCUUUGAUUAGAAAAAAUGAUCACGCAACAAAUAUGGUUAAUGUGGUGAGUAUUGCGUAUUAAGGGCCCGUGUUAACAAUCCGAAUGAACGUAUUAUGCCAUACUUGGAGGCAUCUGGAUUCAGGACACUCGCCCGGUGAUGAUGGAGAUAAAUUUACAAGUUUGAGAUUUUCAUGGUUGAAGGGAAAUUUCAAAACUUUACCAAGUAGUGCCAUUGAGCGGGAGAUGAUGUACGUUGUUCGAGCAUAUAUAAUGUAUCUUACAGGGGGUG